GAGGAGAACAGGGAGCCCAUAGGACUUAAUGCCUCUGUUCUUUUUUUUCUCAGGCAGAGAAGGGAAUGAGGACUCAGUGAAGUGGGCCUGGGAGAUCCAUGCUCAGGAUUCAGAGAGCCAACCGGCUGCCUUUCUAGGUGUCUUUCAAUCCAAUCGAGUUGGCAGUCAAGAAGAACCGUUACACCCCUCCUGGGAAGAUGCGGAUGGAAAGAUGGAGCAGUCUACUGUCUAGUGGGCUCUAGCCACCAGCAGUCUUUGCCACUGUGGACUCUUAAGAACCUGUACCCAAGUCUCUGUCCAGGAGAACUGUUUUCAGGGGUCAGGCUGCAUCUAGGGCAGAGGGCGUUCUCUGGAUGCUUCUCAGAAUCAUGUCACUGGCCACCAUAUUUCUCUCUCGCCAUGGAGGCCAGGGCUCACCCAGCUCACCAGCAGUAGGAGGCAGCGCCAAAGAUCAGCCAGGAGACUGGAGGGGCUGAGGGCCUGAUGUUGCUUCUGGACCUUGGGACUCAACUUGUGAGAAAACCCUGGAACUUAAGAAACUCAGCUUAUUCAUCGAUUGGUAUUGAUUGCCUACAAUGUGGUCUGGAGAACAUUCAAGGCAGUCCUGAAUUUGUCUUUGAAAAUAUAUGAAAUGAGCAAAAAAA